rfam:Lachnospiraceae bacterium 3-1 genomic scaffold acPFp-supercont1.5, whole genome shotgun sequence.
UUGAGGAGGAAGGCAAUGCGAAGCAUUUUAAGAAUGCCUUCCGACGAGUUGCCGCCGAGCGAAGGCGAGGGGGCGUUACCUUAA